rnacentral:tRNA from 2 species
ACUCAACUAUUUUCUG